CUCCAAGGGUUUUGGGAGCUGUGAGCCUAGAACUGUGGACAAAGACCAAAUAUAUAUGAGAAAUAUACUUUGGUCAUUCGAAUGACCAAGUAUAUGUUACUUUAAAUCAUAAUAUCGCAGAAAGAGAGACAACUGUAUGGACGUAUGCUGAGGUGACAGAAUGAGUCACGGGGGCCAGACCUGGAUAAAGGAGAUAAUGUGUGGGGGAGGUGAAUCGGGAAAGGACACUGAGGGAGUGAGAGUGAAAAUGAGAGCGUAAUAUGAGAAGCCUGAGCCUGAAACGUAGGGAAAACCCCUCACGACAAUUACAGUAUAAGGAAAACUUCAAUUCAAUGCUUGCAAUUAAAAACAUUAGUUUAACAAGAAGGAAACACAGAGAAAUGAGACCAAGAAGAUCAACGAGAGGAGAGCUAGUCACCACAGGGACGGUCUAGGUGUUUAUGUUCUGUUGGAAACGCUGCCACGGGCCUGGCUGAUCUGAGGACCACUGACCAGAGUCUUUAGACAUUUUAUCCAUUAGCAAUUUUUUCAGUCUUUUUUUUUUUUUCUGCUUUAUCUCCCCAAAUCUCCUCGGUACAUAGUUGUAUAUCUUAGCUGCAGAUCCUUCUAGUUGUGGCAUGUGGGACAGCGCCUCAAUGUGGCCUGAUGAGCAGUGCCACGUCUGCACACAGGAUCAGAAUUGCUGAAACCCUGGGCCACUGCAGCAGAGCGCGCGAACUUAACCACUCGGCCACGGGGCCGGCCUCAAUUUUUUCAGUCUUAAAGGAAGAAAAUCUGUAGUGCCAAUGAACAUGAUCCAGCAUAGCCUGAAACUAUGAACUGUAUGGGAAAACGAAUGAGAAAUCUGACCUGUUGAAAUGAAAAAACAGGUGACUUGUAUGUUUUUCUCCAAGUUUCACAUUUGGCAUGAGAAACGUGAACGGUGUCUGGAUGAAUGGUUUCGCAUCUCCGGUCAGUCUGAGAAGCCCAUCCUCCCAGGAAGCAGUUUCUGACACGCAGAGCAGGCUCCUGCAGCAAGGUGAUAGCCUGGAAAGCCAGGCCGUUGUGUGAAGAGAGAAGUUUGCAAGGGGCUUUCUUCCACAGCUUUCCCGAUGGAAGGAGCCUCUACAGCAAGCGGAAUCAGAGAAAGGCCUGACCCUUUUUCACCCUGGGAGAUUCGAGGAAGAAGAGAGAAAGGAACGAGGGCAGUGGAAUAAAGGGGAUGUGUCCCAGGGUUCCCCCUUCCUGGGUUUUGCAAAUGGAGGAGAAUAUGAGGGUGGCCCUGGCAGGCGGGCCAGACAACAGCUGCUCUCCAAAUGCCUGUCCCGGGCGUCUCCAAAUGCCUGUCCCGGGCGUCUCUGAGAGCUGGGCUCAGGGCCGGGGAGAGGACUCGCAAGAACGAGGAAACACACGGCAAAGAACAUCCCUGGCUCGGAAUUCACAAGCCCAGGAUAUCCCUGUCCUAACAGGAGAAGUUCAUAGUCUACUGUGUCUAGAGGCUGAUUUUGUUUUUAAAUAAAAUCACGAUUCAUUUUAAGGAGGGCUUAGAGAUACUUCUGGUAUGCGUGAUAUUUCCAAGUCUG
rnacentral:lncRNA from 1 species